UUGCAAAUCUGGCCUAAUCCCGAGGCACUCGGGAACGGAGGACCCAAUCUUCUGGGGUUAAUUCCACGGUUUCGUGGAAGGGAUGAGAGACUCUUUCGCCAUCCUACCCGUCAGCUAACUUCGUCGGCUAAAGCGAGGGAGGUC
rnacentral:sRNA from 2 species